rnacentral:rRNA from 1 species
GAUGAACGCUGGCGGCGUGCCUAAUACAUGCCAGUCGAGCGAACGGACGAGAAGCUUGCUUCUCUGAUGUUAGCGGCGGACGGGUGAGUAACACGUGGAUAACCUACCUAUAAGACUGGGAUAACUUCGGGAAACCGGAGCUAAUACCGGAUAAUAUUAUGAACCGCAUGGUUCAAAAGUGAAAGACGGUCUUGCUGUCACUUAUAGAUGGAUCCGCGCUGCAUUAGCUAGUUGGUAAGGUAACGGCUUACCAAGGCAACGAUGCAUAGCCGACCUGAGAGGGUGAUAGGCCACACUGGAACUGAGACACGGUCCAGACUCCUACGGGAGGCAGCAGUAGGGAAUCUUCCGCAAUGGGCGAAAGCCUGACGGAGCAACGCCGCGUGAGUGAUGAAGGUCUUCGGAUCGUAAAACUCUGUUAUUAGGGAAGAACAUAUGUGUAAGUAACUGUGCACAGCUUGACGGUACCUAAUCAGAAAGCCACGGCUAACUACGUG